UACGAAGGGUGCAAGCGUUAAUCGGAAUUACUGGGCGUAAAGGGUGCGUAGGCGGUUGUUUAAGUCUGUCGUGAAAUCCCCGGGCUCAACCUGGGAAUGGCGAUGGAUACUGGACAGCUAGAGUGUGUCAGAGGAUGGUGGAAUUCCCGGUGUAGCGGUGAAAUGCGUAGUGAUCGGGAGGAACAUCAGUGGCGAAGGCGGCCAUCUGGGACAACACUGACGCUGAAGCACGAAAGCGUGGGGAGCAAACAGG
rnacentral:rRNA from 1 species